CACUCACAUACACGUGUUCGCGCGCGCACACACACGCACACGCAUAUCCACACACAGCUCCCGGCUCCACAGCCCCCACCCACCAUGGGAGGACGAAGUCCCUGCUCCCUCACAUCCUGCUCUCUCUCCUGAUUGACUGGCUUUCUCUGCCCUUCUGAUCAGAUGGGGGAAAACAUGACAGUUCACAGCACCCAUCAUGUCCAGCCAUGUGGAAAGAAUCUCCACAUUUCCAAGAGAGGGUGAUUGGACCAAUUGGAACAGAACUGUGAGAGCAGGAAGCUUGCCAACAGCCAGGUCCCCAACCUUGUGGAGAAAGUGGUCUGGAAAAGUGAUGCUGACAUGAAGAGGAUGUUUGAGUACUUGGUUCCAGACAUCACUAAAUCCAUUUACAUCCUUGCCAUGAACCAACAGCUCCUGAUAAUACCGUCUCCCUUCCCUUUCUAAGCCUCAGUAUCCUUAUCUAUAAAAUAAUGGGGCUGCAUCCUUCCCCCUUUAUCUCUGAUGCUCUAUUUCUAUGUUCAUUAAUUUAUUCUUCCCAUCAAUUAGUCAGUCAGCAUCCCUUGUGCAUCUGUUCUGUCUCUGGCCCUAUGUUGGACACUGAGACUCUUGGUUAAGGAAUAAUUCCCA